UCUUCCUGCUGCAAAUACACGGCUGUCUCUACUAUCCCACACUGCCUCCUUAUCUUGCAUUCCCCAGAGGAGCAACAUGAGAAUACCGCUAGAAGAGAAAGAAUCUGGGGCCCUAUGACAUCAGAAGUGCAGGAAGGCAUUAUAGUGAAGUGAAAGGGGGGCAUUAGAGGACCUGGGUUCAAAUUCUUACUCUGUGACUUACUGCUAGCAAGACCCAUCCCCUCUCUGGGCCUCAGUUUCCUCUUUUGUAAAAUGAAAGAGCGGGACCAGAUGACCUCUGAGGUCCCUUCCAGCUCUAUAGUUAGGAGCUGGGAUGGCAGGAGAGUUUUGCUUCCAUCUGCUUUUCUGCAAGUUUCAACAAUUGCUCUCAUGGGGAGACUGUUUGGCGGCCAGGAUGCCCAGAGAGACAUGGAGGCAACAGCAUCUCCGGUGCCCUCAGGCUGGUGCUCUAGGUGACCUGAGCACAUGGAGGCCUGAAGCACCUACCACAGAGCCUGGCACACAGGACCGGAAGAGGGAUUGGAUCUGUGUUUCCCUAGAGAGGAGAAAAGUGAGGCUCACAGGAGUCACAUGACUAAGUCCCUGGAAGACUGAUCCUCAUCUCCCACCUUCAACUCCAGUCAUCAUCCCUGUCACUUCCCAGACUAGAGCUCCCUUCUUUUCUUUUGUUUUUUUUUUUUUAAGGCAAUUGAGGUUAAGUGACUUGCCCAGGGUCACAC